rnacentral:lncRNA from 1 species
UAUCCAGGCGUUGGGAAGCCACCGGUUAGACCCGGCGGCGAGAUCGCGUUUGUAGGCCGUGAGGAGCUACUGCGAGCGGCUGAGACUCCACGCCGACCAGCGCUCGUUGUUGGCAAGAGCUGCUUGUUGAGGGCGCUGGCUUGCUGCAUGAUUAGUUGUUUGCUUCUGGGACAUGGAGAGCGCUCUCAUGGGUUAUCGAGACGACGGCUUGGUGGGCUAUGUGAUGAACGCGCUGCGGUUUUGCUACUGCAGGGAUGUCAAGCGGCUGGAUCGCAUUGCAGCGCUCGCGUCUGUGAAAGACGUUCAUGGGUCAGGAGAGCUGCUGGCGAGAGCUUCUUGUUCAUCAUUGAUCAGGCGGAAUUGUUCGAUAUCUUUAGCAGCAGCGUGGGAGAGGGAGAAUGUUGGAGAGAAAAGCGAAAGAGGUUUCGUGAGGAAGUGGAUUAUAUUGCCUCCACUGCUGAGCUCGUUGUCUAUGGAGUUACCGCGAUGACAUGCGGUGCACUGAUAUGCAUGUCGUGGUGUUGCAGGACGGAUUCACUGAGGUACGAGAGAUUUCUUUGAGAUCCUUUGUCGUUGGAACUUUGCGGUGUGAAUUCUCAAGAGGUUUCAUGGGCAAGCUUCCCGUGCUUGGGCUGCUGUGCUCGAGAUUUCCAGAGCGCGCCAAGCUUGUGGAGCACUAUGCAGGGAUGCCCUCUUUCUCGCUGGAUUUGCUCGACAAAAGCUGCAGGCUCCAUGCCUACACCAAACUGGUGUGGAGGCAUCGGUUGACGAAGCUGUGGCUUUACUCGAAGACGAUGACGAGUGGGCAGCUCUUAAAACCUUUGAGGACUCUGCAGAGAUGAACAGCAUCAGAAUGUCUCUACGGCACAUCCUCGAGGUUAGCAAGCUUAAGCGGAUUGACGACAUGGCCUCCUUCGAUAGGCGCUGCAUAGCUGGAGAUGAUAAAGUUGGAUACCAGUUCGUCAGUAGCUACGUUAGCAAUAUCUAUGCGGAGGAAUUCCGUGAUCAAGCGGAAUUCUUUGGGGUUGUGUGAGCUUCCUCGGAGUGUUUAAACUGUUUUCUUCCAGGCGAGUUUGCCCGUAGUGGACGCUGUAGUGGACGCUGCUCUCUCGAGAUCGGGAGUUAACGAGGACGCCCUCGUCGAUCAAAACGAGUAUGUGGAGCUCUUCAAAGAACUGUGGCUCACGUACGAAAGAAAUUCGACGGCCAAAGUGUCAAAGCCUUCCUGAGCGACAAGAACAAGAAGGUAAAAGCACAAAAUUCUCUCCAUGUUACCUCUGAUAGGUUCGCGCUUCACGCAACAGGUGAUCUCCGAGGCCUGGAAAACGCUCAAUAAAAAAGGAUGACUUCAUCCUUGGCUUGGACUUCGUCUCACCUCGAGCUGGUUUGCCACCGCUUGGAGCAAUCGAAGAGGUAUGUGAAUAUACUUCUCGUGGGGGAAAAGAGUUCCAACUCUGGAACAACUAAAAAACUUCUUCUCUGUAGAUGGAUUCCGAGAUCAUUGGAGCACUCAAAAUGAUGAACAAUGGUGGAGCGGCCUCGCAUAAAAACCACCAUGAAAGUUUUAUAGACAGGGAAAUUUUCGAGCAGUACCUGAGGCAAGUUCUCGGGAGUAUAAUGUUGCAACU